AAUCAUAAAGAACACUAAUGUUUUAGAUCACUAAAAAAAUAUUCCUUUCUUUUUAGUCCACGUUCGGCAGCUUUAAGCCUUUGCAUUUUCAUAUAUCCAUUUAAUCACAUCUGUCUUAGCUUGAUUUAUCAUAAAAAUAAAUCUAGAAGCAGUCAUUCUAAUUAACACUUUUUUUAAACAUUCACCUUCUUAUGAGCCAAAUUUAUGUAGGUCAUAUUACUCUAGGUGAAACCCAUUCUCAAAACGGUGGAAAUGAAAAAAAAAAUGUUAAAGGAGUGCCCUAAAGUAAAAUUUACAUAAUAAUUAUUUCUUAAAAUGUGUAAUCAAUAUUUUAAAAGUAAAACAAUAUUCUUUUCAAGAUAAAUUUUCCUCUUUUUACUUCAUUAACAAGUGUCCUUUGUGCCCUAAAGGACGCUUAUUAGCCUGAUCCAUUAAAUAAAAAAAACCUAGUAAAAAUAGGUACUAAUUCCCUUCUCUAAACUCAAAGAAUACUGAAAACUAAAGAAAGAGUUAUCAUAUGAGCAUACCUUCUAUAAAGAACUUGGAUUUCACCUCUAUUUCUGAGUUGACCAUUCUCACCAUGAACAGCCAUGUGGCCAAAAGCAGCACCACUAAGGUCAAAAUGUGUUCGGUCAGAAGGGCAGCCAGGGCAUUCAUCAGUUAUUAUAACCGUCACUGCCCGUUUUGAGCAUAUAGUAUGGUCUAAACACUUGACCUUAUAACACUCUCCACACCCUUCUCCCUUCUUAUACAACACUGGCCCCACUGCCCCUACUCUUGCCCUUAACGGCUUCACAUCCACCAAACUUCCGUACCCACAAGCCCCUCCUUAACAAACAACAAAUCAUCAUAAAACAAAUUAUUAGCAACAAAUGAAACAUUAUACCGAGCUGGUUAGUCAGGUUAGACACACGGGCACUAAACACGACACUGACACAUUAUGAUAUUAGUAAUAUAUUUAGAAAGUGAGAGUGACAUAGUUCAUAUUUUAAAGCUAGAGUUCAAAUUUCAAAGAUAGUUGCAAAAUGAUGGUUAAUACCACGGUUAUUAAUAAAACUUUUUUUUCCGAUAUAAAAAGAAUACUCUACUAUAAGUGCUAUACUUAAAAUUUAAUUCAUCGAGUCUUCUCAGCCAGUUAUUAUUUAGAUUUUAGAAUUUACCUCUGCUACCGUCUCCUUCAGCCUCGCCGUACCAGGUGGCGGUUCCCGGGUGCCAAUGUGGGUCGAAGUGUACACUGUGCUUAGACUGCCCCCGAGCAAGUAUGAAGCAUAAGCUUAAAAGAAACAAGACGGAGACACGGUGGUGCUUCAUUCUGAUUGAAGACAAAACUUAACGUGCCGCCGUAGAUAGUUGACAAGAAGAAGAAGAAGAAAACAGUUAAAUGUGUCACCGACACUUUGAUGAUUGAAGUGGUAGUUUUAUUUGUUUCAAGUUUUGGUUAUGAUACCCUUAUAGGUAUUUUAGUUAUUUUAUAAUGCAUUGUGAUGCAAGGGGUCCAUCCAAUGAAAUAUCUAUGCUGAUUUCUUUACCCUAAUGUAUGAAGUAUAUUUACUGAGUGUGCCACUGUAGUGGGUCCCAUUGGCGGUUGAGGCGUUGAAUCCGCAUGUGCAACAAAAAUGGUUUUGUUCUUUUUCCAAACAAAAUUAUUAUAAGUUUUUGUUUGUUUUUUCUUUGAUACCGUUAAUCAAGGGAAAUAAUUAUUGGCAAGCUAUACAUUUCUUCAUCCUCUCAUAUUGGUGGCCAUAGCGGUAUCCACAUGACACUGGGACGUCUCAAGGAAAAUGUAUGGGGCUGAAUGAAUGAAGAAGGACGUGACACAAUUCCUCAAACUCUUUUUUCGAGCGGAAAAUGUAUAUUUGAACAUGCUUGUCACACCGGCCAACGCAACAUUUGGAAAAUCCCGGAAGCUAGGAACACGUCAUCCUUUCUUCUAAGACCAUGGAGGCAGAGGAGAUUGUUGAACGAUCAAAGUGAUUUUUAGCUAGGAGCAAAGCGGGAUCUUGUAUGUACGUACUAUGAAUGAUUUUCAAACUCUUUGAUUUGUAUUUUGUCGCGAUUUAGUUAGGUUUCUUUUGUGUGGGUUGAGUACCCCUUGUACUUUUCUCUCUUCUCUUAAAAAUCUUUUCGUUGUUAAAAAAAAACACAACAAACAUCCGACACACCUUUCAUAUUGGUUGAUACAUCCUUUAUUGAUUCCAAACGGUGUAUGCGAAGACAUUUCCCUAAAUUUCAUUGUAGGGUUCCCUUCUUCCCAAUCAUACGCGGACAUUCUAGUGGUUGUGCAUUGUUUUUUUUUUAAGUUUCCCUAAUUGGUAUGUUACCAACAUAUUCUACCACUAGCAAAGUUGCCGACUUGUUUGCUAGAUAGUUUUUUAACUGUAUGGUAUGUCUAAAAUCAUUGUAUCUGGUCAUGAUCGCAUUUUCUUGAGCAAAUUCACUUUCAUUUGAGGAUGGAUGAACCGUUGAAGCAAGGUAGUUUAUUGGUUGCACUACUAAAACACAAGGAGAGAGAAACAAGUGACUAACACUUGUUGACUUGUGAUUCUUCCUCAACUUGAACUCCUUAUGCACUAAACACUCUUCAAACGGAGAGAAGAAACAAUAUGUAAUGUGUCCGGCCAAUUAUGAUUCUCAUUAUUCUAAAAUGAGGCAUCACGACAUUUCACUCAUAUGGAGCUCAUAUCGAUUAAUUAAAUAUUUAAUUAAUUAUCCAGUUACAUUUGUUUCUUAAUUUGAUCACUAAUCUAUUUAGACUCCUUCUUAAUAUAUUUAAUAUAAUUAUUAUAAAGAUUUUUUUGAAUAGAUAUUAUUAUAAAGAUAUUUACCUGCAUAAUAACAUUAGAACAUAAUUAAAUAAUAAAAUGUUCUAGGUGAAAGUUAAUUCCUUUAAAGUUCUCUUUUUCUAUUUGCAAUCACACAACAUUGUACAGAACUCCAUUGCCGUCAGUUUCAAUAUUAGUGAACCGUAUGCAAAAACUGAUUGUCGAUGUGAGUGGAAAGAUGAUAUUGUAUCUUGAUUCUUGACUUAUUUGCUUGGUGAGAUUUUGAAUAGUUUGUUUAAAUUUAAUUAAAGAUUCAGAUUAGAUAUGAUUUAGUGCAUUAUUGGUUUUGUUGAAUGAAAUCAGACAAAAAAAGCCAAAUUAGCCAAUCAAUGACGAUAAUAAAACAUGCAUAUAUUUUUAAUAAUUCAUCUAGCCAAUCUAUUUUCUUCUCUUUAUUUUUUUCUUUUUGACAGGUCCACACAUAAAUCCUUCAAUUUGCUUUUAGUGUGUGUAAUGUUCAUAUAUUAAUGCUGGACCAGUAAAUACAGUCACCGAAUAUUUUAUGUUGCUUCAGUAAGUGUAGGUUAUUAUGCAAUUAUGAUAAUAAGAUAAGUAAGAGCUUUGAUAGAAACUGCGGUAAUUUAUUUUGUGUGUCAAGGAAUCUAUUGGUUAAAAAUUCAUCUAAUAAGUACGGAAAUUAGAGUUUAAACUUCGAUCUUUAUAUAUAAAAUCAAUAUUUACCAACUGAAUUAUACUUAUAAGGACAAAAUGUGAUAACUAUUUUUUUAGUUCCAAGCAACCGUAAUAAAUUAUCACAUUUUUAAGUUCCGAGCAAUUCAUUUUUCUUGAUUAAUAAUGAUUCGUGAAGGUAAAGCAAAUGGUAGACUGAGUUCAGGUUGUUGGAACUAAACUAAAAUGAUUGAGCCAAGCCUCAAUCCAUCCAAGUAUAACUUGUAAAAAUAGUCUUGUGUUAAAGGGGAAAAAAUCUUAAAAUGGUUUUAGACUUGAUCUUAAAAAUGGUCUUUCUAAUAUGGGAUUGAUAAAUUAAUUUAUCUAAAAAUCAGCAAUUAUGGAAGCCACUGCCGACCAUUACCAGCAAGCGCUAAGCAUAGAAAAUAAUAGGCUAAAUAGUAUGACAAAAAUAUUAGUUUAAUCCUUUAACUUAUUAAGUUUUAAAUAGUAUGAACAUUUAAGGGAUGAAAGUUGUAUGUGCAGCACGUGAAAACUUGUGCAAUAAUCUACAAAGAUGAACAUUAUAGAUACACGUCUUCUUUGACUCAUUAAACAAGUAGCAUGGCUCAAAGAAUUACGAUUGUUGAGAAAGAAAAAUUGAUAUAGUAGCACAUGGUCGAAAGCAUGAAUAAAACAUUCAAAAUAACUUUUGAAUUAUCAUAAAAAAUCUGUAAAAAAAACAAUAGAAAGUCAAUGGAAAUGAAUGGAUUAAAAAGUAUUUUAUAUUCUUAAAAAUAACUUCUCUUAAUGUUGAACUAAGGAGGUAUGAUAUUAGUAAAAUGGAGGGUGUGGUUACCCAUCUUUUUAGUUUUUUGGUUUGUAUUAUAAUCGAGAACCAAAUCAUUUUAUAUCGAUUUAUGUCAUUUUAUUUUGUUUUUAAAAUGAACCAAACUAGAUCAGAUAUUUUUUUUAAUUUGAUUUAAUUUUGUUUGAAUUUUUUAUUUGAUCUGUCUUAUCCAAACCACUUAUACCCCUAAACACCAUACUCAAUCGACAAAUAUGUAUAAGAAUUUAAAUCCAAAGACUUGAAAAUAUUUUUUUUUCUUCCGCAACUGAAGUGAGUGUUUACACAAUUUUUCAAACAUCCUCUCCCUUGAUGAUAGAUAUGGUCAAGGUUAACAGCACAAAUUUGGCAAACCCUCGUUUGUUUGCAUUUAUCAUCAGUCCCUCACAUACCUUACUCGCAGGGAACUGAAGGCAUACAACAAUAAAUUCAUCAGUAGAUGUAUUGUCUGCACCCACGUUCUAAUUAAUAUGACUCCCUAUUAAAUUAUGCCAACGGUUCAAUUUUAUUUUCUUUAGCUUUGCAGCCAAUACUAUCUGUAGCUAAGCUAGGGAAUCACAUGAUUGGAGGAACCGUAUGAAAUGAGUACUAACAUGAGAUUAUUGUGAAAAUCGCAAGAAUAUCGUUAAUUAUAAUGUAUUUCAAAGGUAAAUGCAAAAUUAUUGUAUUUUAGGUUCUACAAUUAAAUAAUUUAGUCUUUAAUUUAAGCCAAUGGACCCAGUACCCGAAAUUCAACAAUACAUUCAUUCAUAUAUACUACUACACUUCAAGCUCUCUCUCCUCUUUUGGAGGGGGCUACAUGAACAUGACUUCUUCAUACAAAUUACAAAUAAUUGCACACCAAAAUCAACCAUCUAGACUUAUAAAAUAUAAAUCACUAUCUAGAUAGCCAUGUGCACUCAACGGCUAUAAAAAUAACAAGAUUGGUCCAAAUCCACUAAUUUUUACCUUAUUCCACUUGAGUAACUUUAUAUCUUGGUAAAUGGUACUUAUAUUAAUUAUUUACUUACCACUCCCUUUGGGAGUGAGCUUAAUUAGUUUAAGGAGUGAAAUUUAAGCGUGAUGUAUAAGUGGAUUUUGGAGACCAAUUACUUGGAAUAACAUCUUUAACAGUGAUGCUUUUUCCCGUUGAUGUGCUUAAUUUCACAGAGAAAGGUCCUCUCAAAGGUCCUGUAACAAUGUUCCAAUUUGCACCCCAUAAAUGAUUCAUUUGCAGCCACUCACUAGACCCAGCCUGCAUACCAAACACCAAAAUAUCCAAUCACAAUUAAAAAUUUAGACUCAUAGUUUUAUAACACACAUAUAUAUGUUGUAUAGAAUUUACUUUAUAUUCAUACUCUUGAGCAUAGCAUAACUCAGUACAUAGAGACGUUGCAGUAAAUCUAAAGAGUUCGGUCCCUAGAGAUGUUUGACUUUUAUUACAUUUAAUUUAAAACUAAUAGAAUAUGGUUAGUUAGCAAUAUAAAAGAUCUUACAUUGUUUUCAAUUAUAUAUAUAAUGUAAUGGAGAAAUGAGGAAUUGAAUAUAAUUAUUGUUAGAGGUCCCAUAUAUCACAUGGUUUUGAGUUCACAAGAUUCAGGAAAAGGAACACACACGACCAAGAGCAAUAUUGAUUACCAAUAGGCACCGUUAUAUGAGGAUAACACUCUGGAUAUAGCAUAUAGAUAGAAAAAAGGAUAUUUCAAAAGUGGCAUUGCACGUGAUUUCGAUUUCAAGUGACAUAUCCACAACAUUUGGAAUUGUACACACUGGCCAUGCCCAUUCUUGUUACUACAAUUGACACGAAUUAAAGUAUAUGACCAGUGACCACGAUGCCUUAGUGCACGUUUGAGCAACUUCUAUUCCUUUUAGCCAUAAAAAAAUCCUAUAACUUUGGUAUAUAUCAUAUCAAAAGACCCUUUUAAUGGCAUCUCAUUUUCUGGACACAUGCAUGGUUAUUUUUUUUAUAAUUAUGUAAAUAAAUAUCAACAAGAAAAGAAAGGUGCAUACUUCUUGUAUAUACAUGGAGCUUAUGUCACCAUCUCCAUCUUCAAACUCCACUAGAAGUGAUAACCAAUAUGGUGUGGAGCCUUCAUUAACUUGAAAUGCAAGAUUUUUGCCAGCAUAUACGCACGUUGUUCUGCAAAAAUACCAUCAUAAAGAACACUAAUGUUUUAGAUCAGUGAAAAAAUAUUCCCUUCACGUGUGAAGAAUUAUUAUGAGUAUCUUUAAGCCUUUACCAUGUUUUUUUCAUAAAUAUAUAUAAGGGAACCUAUAUAUAAUCCAUCUAAUCCAAAAAAAGGUAAGAUAUGAUUGAGAAUGUAAUACCUUCUGUAAAGAACUGGGAUUUCACCUCUAUUUCUAAGUUGACCAUUCUCACCAUGAACAGCCAUGUGGCCAAAAGCAGCACCACUAAGGUCAAAAUGUGUUCGGUCAGAAGGGCAGCCAGGGCAUUCAUCAGUUAUUAUAACCGUCACUGCCCGUUUUGAGCAUAUAGUAUGGUCUAAACACUUGACCUUAUAACACUCUCCACACCCUUCUCCCUUCUUAUAUAACACUGGCCCCACUGCUCCUACUCUUGCCCUUAACGGCUUCACAUCCACCAAACUUCCGUACCCACAAGCUC
rnacentral:lncRNA from 1 species